GCCAGGGUGGCAGAGGGGCUAUGCGGCGGACUGCAGAUCCGCUUUACCCCGGUUCGAAUCCGGGCCCUGGCU
rfam:Geoglobus ahangari strain 234, complete genome.